GGCUGUAAUCAUUUUGAGCUGAUACCGGUUCAUGGUUUGACCUAUAGCAUGGUUUGGAUCUAUUUCUCUCGACUUGUGCUGUUGCUAUGGAUAAGAAAACCCAUAAACUUAGGGAUGAAGGCGUUUAUACUACUAUGAUUGACACGUAGCAAUUUGUGUGCGUCAUACGCCAAAAUCGGUUGUACGAAACAGUCCGAGAUUUGAGAAAAAGGAAGAACGUGUCCUGUUUCAUAAAAUAAAUUAGAUAAAGAGGAUCAUUAUUUCCCAAACUUGGGCACUACCAAGGAAACCAGUUAUUUCCUAAGCUUGGGCUCUGGAAGCAUAAGCUCUUAUUGGGUGUCAAAACGGUACUAAAAUUGGCCAAGUUGUUUUGAAAACAAUUGGAUAUAUCAUAAGUCUUUCAAAUGAACUUACUCGAUUGACUACUUGAUAAAGGUCCAUUCAUCAUUUCUUCUGGUCAACUCAAGACUCUUAAAAUUCACCUCGAGCUUUAUUUGUGAGAGGGACUGAUCUUUUGUACCAAUUUCUUAAGAUUUAAUAGUAGUACCUUUUGUAAGGUUGGGCUACUGGAAGUUCUGUUAGACUCUUAGGAUAGUAAAAGGAAAUUAUGAAUGAUCCACCCCAAAAUGAUUAUAUAUUUUCCUCUUCUACCGUUUUAGAGUAUGAAUCUUUCAUGGAAAGUGGGUUAUCCUAGUUGCAAAAGAUGCUUAAAAGUUACAACCUACAAGGAUCUAUUUUUCAGUGAACAAAGGAUUAUUUUCACUUAUCAUACUGGCCAUAAAAGUUUUAUCGUUAUUUAAUCUAUGCUCUCAGUGCUCAUUUUUGUUCAGUUAGAAAAAGAAUUCCUCCCUCAGAUGACUCAAGGAAUGCUUGGUAUAUCAAAUACGAAAGGAUAUCAUAAAUUACUGACAUGUCAAGGUUCGCUAUUUCCUGCUGCCAGCAAUAGGAAGGGUAAUGAUACAUGUAUUUGUUGUUUGUUGAACAGUGGCAGUACACAGAAAAAAGCAGGAGCAGAACAGCAGGCUAAGCUAACUAGCUAAGAGAGUUCAAAGCUAUUCGAGUCCAGAAAGAUGAGUAGGUGUGGUAGAACUGGAAAUGUGAGACAGUACAUAUAGAUCCAAAGUCCCAAGAUUGAGAUGGACUCCUGAGCUUCAUCACUCCUUUGUUCUUGCCAUUCAAACACUUGGUGGCCAUCAAAAAGCUACGCCUAAGCUUGUUCUACAGCUGAUGGAUGCCAAGGGACUCACCAUUUCACACGUAAAGAGCCAUCUCCAGGUCUUGUCUUUCUCUCUCUCGCGCUAAAUAAAAGUCAACACAUUUCUCAUUUGGGUUGGAUUCAUAUUCUUCUAUAUAUGUUUCUUUGGGACAGAUGUAUAGGAGUGUGAGGGUUGAUAUGGGAAGACAAGGUACAAUAAUUAUAAUUUAGGCCAUACCGACAUGGUUUUCUUUGACCUUUUUUGGGUUAUUUAGAAAAUAAGAAAACAAUUCAUGUUUAUGAAUCUAUCUUUACAACAUCACGAUCAUCAUUCAAGCACUGAAAUCUGUGAGGCAAUUUCUUCUCCUCGUUCAAAGUUGGAUAAAAAUAAUUACAAUCACAGAGAUUGUUGGAGUUGGUGUUCUAUAAGGCAACAGCCGAAAAUUGGUGUGAAUUUAGAGUUGUCAAUGGCGCAUUUUGGUGGCUAAUCAGAACU